CACCUGACGCUAUUGGAGACUCCUGCGGUUUGAUUCAUGUCCAGAGGAAGUUGAGGGGCCCAGAUUCUCUACCUUCAAAACUUCCUAGGCGCGUGGAGGGUGGCGACAGAGGUGCGCGCCUCGGGGGAGACGCGAGGUGGGUCCUCCUUCUGCAGCCGAGUCUGGGCGAGCGCGAGGGGAGCCUCCACGCUGCAGGCUUCUGUGCAGGGGCGGUAAAAUCCGCAGCCCAGAGCUGGAGAAGGAGAAGCAGCUGCUGGGACCCCGGAGGGAAGCCGGGCCGGCGCCAGCGGCUCCGAGGGCGCUCUGCCCAGUGCUGCCUCCCCGGGAAACAGUUCAGGACGCUCAAGACCAGAAGCGGGAGCAAACCCAAAAGGAGCUCCAAGGAGGUUGUGGAUGAGAGAGCUGUCCCAUGGCUGGGCUGUUUUUACGUAUACUGGCUGCUUACAGGAUAUCACGCUGCUGAAUGACGUGUACUUGAAGACCAGCAGAGGGUGGUGGAUGUGCCUCUGCCCACGCUGUGUAAAGAUGGCGGCAGAGCGGACCCAACAGCACCCUUGGAGUCUACACAGGAAGAUAAAGUCAUGCAUGGGUAAUGUCCUCUGGCUGGUUCUGAAAUAUAUAAAGGCUGCCAUUUUUCAGGGACAGAGCAAAUUAUCCUACACCUCUUUAUCCUCUAGAAUUUAAUUUCCAGUUGCCUAAGUCUGCAUAGCUUUCCAGUCUCAGGUGCAAAUGGCCCUCAAGUCUCCUGAUGUCCACUGAAGCUGUUUGGGGUUUUUGUUUUUACCCGAUUUUAAUAUUUUUUUCUGUGAUCCAUGCAGAGCUCUAGCAUCCUCACUUCUUUAACUAAAUUAAUACCUUUAAUCUGAUUGUAGUAAAUUCUUGCUGUAACCUGAGAUCCCUUUUCUCUCCCUGGUGACAUUGCAUCACGCGUCUUUGGUUUUUUGUGGAUUGAUUUUAUUGUUUAGCUCUCAGAGGAUGUUCUUAUUUCCAAGUAGCUGGAAAUUACCAAAUACCAAUCAUAAUAUCCAGAAGUACAAAUUAAUAACGGGAUAGUAAUAAAUAGUACAAUUUGUACUUAUAGUUUAUGCCGUUUUUCUAAAUUACAUGUUGAUCCUUUUUAGUGGCAAGCGGCCCAUCGGUAUUGGCUAUUGAUAAUAAUUGAAACAAUAUGCCAUGCGAUCCCCUCUAACUGUGCAGAUGUAAUGAAGCAUACAUCUGCCAGAUGGAAGAAGUUACAGUAUAAUGUACCCUGACUUGCUGUUGCAGGGUUGCUAAGUACAGUUUUUUUUCAUUUUUUUUUUCCCAGCAUUUUCGCUGGUAUCAUUGGGUAUAGACUCAGUCAGUAGGGUACCUAGCAGUCUGAGCUUGAAUACUUGAGAAUUAAUUUCAACACACCUUUGACUGUUCCCUAAUGUUCUCCACUUAAAUGUGUCAUAGCGAAGCCAAGGGUAACUAGUGUUUUGUGAAGAAGAACUGUCCUUUCGUGUACCCACCUGCAAACUUGAGUAUACAUGUUGGGUGUUGAGUGCUGGAGAGAGAGAAAUGAUUUACCCCUCUUUAGAGAUACCCCAUAUUGAUGAGAGUGAUGUGCUUGGGCAUGGCUUGGAGAACCAGUGGGGUGUUUGGAAUGAUGGCUUUUGUCCAUUUCAACAUUGGAACCCUGAUCCUAUAUUAUAAUAAGAAAGGUAGAUACAUGGCAGAAUCAAGUAUAAAUUGCUUAUCAUAACGUUUGUAGUUCUUUGAGAUAUAAAAAAGCCUCCCAAU
ensembl:lncRNA novel transcript